rnacentral:rRNA from 1 species
UACGUAGGGUGCAAGCGUUGUCCGGAAUUAUUGGGCGUAAAGAGCUCGUAGGCGGUUUGUUGCGUCGGCUGUGAAAUCCCGAGGCUCAACCUCGGGUCUGCAGUCGAUACGAGCAAACUAGAGUGUUGCAGGGGAGACUGGAAUUCCUGGUGUAGCGGUGAAAUGCGCAGAUAUCAGGAGGAACACCGAUGGCGAAGGCAGGUCUCUGGGCAUUAACUGACGCUGAGGAGCGAAAGUGUGGGGAGCGAACAGG